AACGAACGCUGGCGGCAGGCUUAACACAUGCAAGUCGAGCGCCACGCAAGGGGAGCGGCAGACGGGUGAGUAACGCGUGGGAACGUACCUUUUGGUUCGGAACAACUCCGGGAAACUGGAGCUAAUACCGGAUAAGCCCUAACGGGGAAAGAUUUAUCGCCGAAAGAUCGGCCCGCGUCUGAUUAGCUAGUUGGUGAGGUAACGGCUCACCAAGGCGACGAUCAGUAGCUGGUCUGAGAGGAUGAUCAGCCACACUGGGACUGAGACACGGCCCAGACUCCUACGGGAGGCAGCAGUGGGGAAUAUUGGACAAUGGGCGCAAGCCUGAUCCAGCCAUGCCGCGUGAGUGAUGAAGGCCUUAGGGUUGUAAAGCUCUUUUGUCCGGGAAGAUAAUGACUGUACCGGAAGAAUAAGCCCCGGCUAACUUCGUG
rnacentral:rRNA from 1 species